rnacentral:misc_RNA from 1 species
GGAAAGUCUAAGAAGAAGGAUUUCAAGUUUUAGGCAAUCUUUUGUUACGGUAAUCAAAUCACUCUAUCGAAUACGACUGCAAUGCCCGCUGUGCUUUUAAAUUGAAGAAGCUGGCUUUUGCUUUUGGUGGGGAGAUGUUCCAAUCUUGUGUAGUAUCAAGUAUGCGCUAUCCUAUAAACUUCAGGAUUAUGUGGUUCUUCCAAAAACCAGAUCCUCUUUGCAGGAUAAUCUACGUAGUUGUUAGUCGUAUACGACUCUUUGGUGGAAGUAGUUUGUCAUAUUUAGUAGGUUCUGUAUUCGUUCUUUUUGAUUCCCGAGCUUAGAAAUGGCUGCUGUGCUGUGACAUAACUUGAACAGUAGCUGCGAUGGAGAAGAGAUGGAUCAUCCACAAUGAGUUUUAUGCUAUUCUGUCAUGGCUGCUAUGCCUGUUGUACUUCAAACUUC